AACAACUGCUGCGGCCCUUUUUACCCUGUGAUCGCAUUUCUGUGCUAGCGAUGUUGCCUUCACCACACUGCAAGAAAUCGCUUACUCAACGACGGAAUACAUUCAACAUCAGAUUGGCCCAUUCGAUGUAUUAGGCUAUGCCGCAAUGUCGUCGGGAAGAUCAACGCUAACUUGUUGGGAUGUUAAUUAUCAGAAAUAUCGCCGCUGACAACCGCAAAUAUACGUACGUCACCAUCCAAGCACCUCCUAUAUAUG
rnacentral:lncRNA from 1 species